rnacentral:rRNA from 1 species
UCUCCGUUGGUGAACCAGCGGAGGGAUCAUUACCGAGUUUACAACUCCCAAACCCCUGUGAACAUACCUAAUGUUGCCUCGGCGGAUCAGCCCGCGCCCGGUAAAACGGGACGGCCCGCCAGAGGACCCCUAAACUCUGUUUCUAUAUGUAACUUCUGAGUAAAACCAUAAAUAAAUCAAAACUUUCAACAACGGAUCUCUUGGUUCUGGCAUCGAUGAAAAACGCAGCAAAAUGCGAUAAGUAAUGUGAAUUGCAGAAUUCAGUGAAUCAUCGAAUCUUUGAACGCACAUUGCGCCCGCCAGUAUUCUGGCGGGCAUGCCUGUUCGAGCGUCAUUUCAACCCUCAAGCACAGCUUGGUGUUGGGACUCGCGUUAAUUCGCGUUCCUCAAAUUGAUUGGCGGUCACGUCGAGCUUCCAUAGCGUAGUAGUAAAACCCUCGUUACUGGUAAUCGUCGCGGCGACGCCGUUAAACCCCAACAACUUCUGAUGUGGGACCUCGGAUCAGGUAGGAAUACCCGCUGAACUUAAGCAUAUCAAUAAGCGG